UACCUGUUUAGGAGCUUGUCACGAUGCCUU
rnacentral:piRNA from 1 species